UGUUACAAACCCGAUCCUUCCUGUAACGGAACCGGGUUGAGUGUUGCUGCUGGCUCUGUGUAGCUGUACUAUCGGCACUGUCGGUGUAUUGGUGCAAAGCUCCUUGACGGGGUUGUAAAAUUGCUUCGCUUGCGCUGGUAUCUGCACUAGCCCCUCCAUUCCCUGCCACGCUGCUGUUUUGUCUCAACCACUGUCAACGGGUUGUAACCACACAAGCUCACGCCAGGCUUUGAACGCCUCUACGCGCCUUUCAGCGCCAGGAUCUGUUGCCCAAAGUGUCCGACAGGGCUGUAUUUGAGUGAUCGUGACACGGACGAUAGCUUUGCCUUUCUUUGGCUUGCCCGUGCUUACUAAUGUGUAUGGAGAUUGGGGUUUAUGUUUAUGGGUUUAUUUGUUAAAUUAUGAUUAAGUGAUUUUUGGUUAAUUUAUAUUUCUUUUUGUUUAAGUCCUGAUAAAAGACUCAUUUCUGUUGAAACUUUAUGAUUUAUCUGUUAAUCUUUUGUUUGGCUCCAGGCAGCUCGGAUUAAGUGAUCUUUGGUUGAUUUUUAUUUCUGUUUAAGUUAUGAUAACGACUUUCAUUUUUGUUGAGACCUUUAUGGUUUAUUUGUUAAUUUUGGUUAUUUAUUAGGCUCUAGGCAGCUAUUUAGACACCUUUGCUGCCUAGAUUUGCCUUAGAUUGAAGUUGUUUUUCAUUUAUUUUUGGUUUGAUUUAUUCCCCCCCCCCCAAUAACUGAAUGUUCUUCUCCUAUAGGUGCUGAGUGCCGAAGGUGGUGAUGUCGGUGUCCCCGGUGGUGGUGUCUCCCUCCUGUGUGCUGUGUUUUCCCCCUUGGUUUAUUUUGAGUUUUUCACCACUGUGUGUGUGUGUGUGUGUGUGCGUGCUCACGUGUGACUGGGGUGAUCCUUCACUGAGACCCCACACCCUUUGACCCUGUCCCUCCACCGGUAAGGCCUCAGCACUUAUUUCCCACAUUUAGUAGGUCUGGUAUUUUAAAUAGUAUUUUAUAUUUGAUGUUUUAGU